rnacentral:rRNA from 1 species
GAGUGGGUUGUACCAGAAGUAGAUAGCUUAACCUUUUGGAGGGCGUUUACCACGGUAUGAUUCAUGACUGGGGUGAAGUCGUAACAAGGUAACCGUAGGGGAACCUGCGGUUGGAUCACCUCCUUACUGA